GAUGAACGCUGGCGGCGUGCUUAACACAUGCAAGUCGAACGAUGAAGCUCAGCUUGCUGGGUGGAUUAGUGGCGAACGGGUGAGUAACACGUGAGUAACCUGCCCUUAACUCUGGGAUAAGCCUGGGAAACUAGGUCUAAUACCGGAUAGGAGCGUCCACCGCAUGGUGGGUGUUGGAAAGAUUUAUCGGUUUUGGAUGGACUCGCGGCCUAUCAGCUUGUUGGUGAGGUAAUGGCUCACCAAGGCGACGACGGGUAGCCGGCCUGAGAGGGUGACCGGCCACACUGGGACUGAGACACGGCCCGGACUCCUACGGGAGGCAGCAGUGGGGAAUAUUGCACAAUGGGCGAAAGCCUGAUGCAGCGACGCCGCGUGAGGGAUGACGGCCUUCGGGUUGUAAACCUCUUUCAGUAGGGAAGAAGCGAAAGUGACGGUACCUGCAGAAGAAGCACCGGCUAACUACGUG
rnacentral:rRNA from 1 species